UGGGGAAUAUUGCACAAUGGGCGCAAGCCUGAUGCAGCCAUGCCGCGUGUGUGAAGAAGGCCUUCGGGUUGUAAAGCACUUUCAGCGAGGAGGAAGGUGGUGAACUUAAUACGUUCAUCAAUUGACGUUACUCGCAGAAGAAGCACCGGCUAACUCCGUGCCAGCAGCCGCGGUAAUACGGAGGGUGCAAGCGCUAAUCGGAAUUACUGGGCGUAAAGCGCACGCAGGCGGUUCGUUAAGUCAGAUGUGAAAUCCCCGGGCUCAACCUGGGAACUGCAUUUGAAACUGGCAAGCUAGAGUCUCGUAGAGGGGGGCUAGAAUUCCAGGUGUAGCGGUGAAAUGCGUAGAGAUCUGGAGGAAUACCGGUGGCGAAGGCGGCCCCCUGGANGAAGACUGACGCUCAGGUGCGAAAA
rnacentral:rRNA from 1 species